GAUUCUUUGAAGGUUUUUGCAGUGAUGAUACACAAAAAUGUUGUGGAGCUAGCAAAGUGAUGAAGUCUGAAACUUUAGAAGAUCAGUUGCCAUCUGUUUUGUGUGGGCUUGACUUAAAUAUUGUUUCUGUGCCUGAUUUGAAUGAAGAGCUGACUCCUCCAUUUGAGUCGUCCCGCGAUGAAGAUAAUGGGUAUGCUUUGGAACAGGCUGUUGAGGCGGAUGACGAUGCUGCUUCUCAUGACACAAAGAAGAAUGGUUUAGCAAGAUCACAUGGAAGUGAUGACUCCCAGACCUGGACCGGUAGGCCAAGUGGAGAAGUGUCGGCUGUUGAUUCCCGGGCAGAACUGUGCAGGAAAAGGGCUGCACAUUCCAA
rnacentral:misc_RNA from 1 species